UACAGAGGUCUCAAGCGUUGUUCGGAUUCAUUGGGCGUAAAGGGUGCGUAGGCGGCGCGGUAAGUCGGGUGUGAAAUCUCGGAGCUUAACUCCGAAACUGCAUUCGAUACUGCCGUGCUUGAGGACUGGAGAGGAGACUGGAAUUUACGGUGUAGCGGUGAAAUGCGUAGAUAUCGUGAGGAACACCUGCGGCGAGGGCGGGUUGCUGGGCUGACACUGACGCUGAGGCGCGAAAGCCAGGGGAGCGAACGGG
rnacentral:rRNA from 1 species